rnacentral:rRNA from 1 species
GUGCCAGCAGCCGCGGUAAUACGUAGGUGGCAAGCGUUGUCCGGAUUUAUUGGGCGUAAAGCGAGCGCAGGCGGUUUCUUAAGUCUGAUGUGAAAGCCCCCGGCUUAACCGGGGAGGGUCAUUGGAAACUGGGAGACUUGAGUGCAGAAGAGGAGAGUGGAAAUUCCAUGUGUAGCCGGUGAAAUGCGUAGAUAUAUGGGAGGAACACCAGUGGCGAAGGGCGGCUCUCUGGUCUGUAACUGACGCUGAGGCUCGAAAGCGUGGGGAGCAAACAGGAUUAGAUACCCUGGUAGUCAC